GUCAUAGUCUUUUGCUUAUUCAUAUUUCUUGAAUAUUUAUUUUCAGUGAUUUCAUAUUUUUUGUUCAUGUUUUUGUAGUUGUAUUUCAUUUGAUAAGUCCUCGUACUUUAUGCAAUACAUAGUUUAAACAUCUUUUUGUUUUUGUUUAUCAGUCUCCCACAUUUUUUUGUUUUUGCAUAUAGAUCCCCAAUUCUUGUUAUUUACAUAUUUUUGUAUUUGAAAGACCCCAAAUCUCUUGUUCAUGUUGGUAAAAUUAUGGAAUGUUCCAACCUGCCAAGUAUUUUCCACUAAAGGUAUUAAGUCAUCAACCAAGCAUACGGUACUUCGAUGCAUGAGGCUUUUGUAGGUGGUUCAUGUAUUAUUCAAGCUAUAGUCUUAUUUUUUUUCUGGCUUGAAUCAUAUUCACUCAUGUUGCAAAGUAGCAACCUUAUUACAUGAUCAAGGAUUCUUGUCACGUAUUGAAUUGAUGGAAUAAUGGACCCGAUAGGCAUAAGUCAUUUAUGAAACAUCCCGAUUAGUCUCACAUUGAAAGCGGACUAGAUUAAGAUUGACUUCUGAGGGUCUGAUGAGUAUAUUACUAUCAACUUCAGCUUAAGCAUUUUAGCUAGUAGUUUAGGCCAAAUAAAGUCGAUGGGCCAAUUAACCUAUCAGACCCGAAUUAUGAUAUUUGGUAUCAUAGCCGACCUAGUAGUUGAGCAUGGUGAGAGGACUCGAGUAGGAAAGGUCUAUUUGUGGAUGAAAUCAUCUCGUUAUGGCAUGGAGUCACUCUUGGACUACGUUUCACAUGUAUCAUGCAAGGGUUUGAUCUGGGCUAUGAUAAUCCUUGACAAGAACGUUAAGUCCUUGAGUGGGGAAAAUUAUAGCACUUCGAUUAGUCUCACAUCGAAAGUGGACAAAAUUAAAAUUGAUUUAUAAGGGUUUGUUGGAUAUAUUACUAUCAAUUUAGAUAUUUUGAUAGGCCAGUUAGCUUAUCUAGCUCUUACUUGGGUCAUGACAGAGCUCAAAUUGAUAGAUAGAAAUAUACUUUGUGGAUAUAUAAACUAACUUGGUUCUCUCCAAACCGGUGUAUUACAACCUUUAGUCGCUAGGCAUGCUCUUAUCAGAAUGCGGUGCAUGUGUUUAACUGCUAAAUGGUGGUUUCAUGUGUUGUGCCGCUAGUCUUAUUCAUGUAAUUUCCUUUGUCAUGACCAUGUUUGAUGAGAAUAUUGACCAUUAACUUGAUAGGUCUGAGUCACUGGUUCAACAUGUUGAAGCCAAUAUUAAAAACAGUGGUCAUAUCGAGCUUCAUAGACCGGUUCAAUUCUCCUUCCAUAUCCAAUGUGGAACUAAGUUAGGACAUCACAAUCAACAUAUUAUAGGUAUUUUUCACCCCCUGGAGAAUCUUUGAUCCCCUUCCUUGUAUAAAGUAGUCAUAUCUAUCCUCAUGAUCUUUCAUAUUAACCUAGUUUUAUCUACACUUCAGACAUUUUGAAGCAUCAAAUGUUAAAAGUUUUGGUGAAUUUUUUUGCAAGUUGAUGUUAAGCAGAAACUCUCAUGUUUGCUGUCAUGUUCUAACUGACCUUCAUUAUCUAUGUGUCCAAUCAUUUUAUUGUUUCAUUUUGAAACUUUUUAUUUUUUUAUAAAAAAAUAGCACUAUAUAUUUUUAAGGAAUUUUGUCGCUAAUAUUGACAUGAAUCUAAUCUGAUAGCAGAGAUACUUAUUUACUAUCUUUGUUGUUUUAGUGACUUAGCUUUGUUGUUUAUACUGUGGUUGUUCUUUAGUCAUUCUCUACCCAGGUGAAGAAAAUUUGAAAAAGGGGAGGGAGAGGAAUGUACCUCCUCGGGCCUCGGCAGGUCCACUACACUGGCUUGAAAGAAAAAAGGACAACUGACCUCAACGCAUCCAAUUGCAGCCUAAACAAUGGCGGGAGCAUAGAGAUGUGUGCUGACUGCCGAGUCCAUGAGAGAGAGAGAGAGAGUUGGAGGACAAGGUGAUGAUGCCUGUGGCCCUUCCAAUAAUAAACCAAGGAUCAAACCCCCCACCCCCCCUCAGGAACAGAGCUGCUGGUCAACACCAGACUCAGUCGAAGACAAAUUAUGGUCUUCUUCCAUCGGAGAAUCACAAGCAUCACUGCUCCUGUUAUUGCUCAUGUCAUGUUGGGGAGACCACCAACAACACUGAAUCCAACACCAUUUAGAAAUAAAACCUCCCUACCAACUCCCACAUCCAUCUUUGUCUCUUCUCCCCCACCAGUUUUAUCUUAUUCCCAACCAUCACGUCCCUGGAGUAAACCGCGGCGCUGAAGACGACCACUUUGUAAUGACUCCUCUCUCUCUCUCUCUCUAAUAAAUGGUACGUGAUUUCUUCAUGCAUUUUAUUGGGACUUAGGAGAAAGGCUUACAUAUUUCUUUGGACGAUUUUUCUUAAAAGAAUAUUUUUUUUCGAACUUUUCUUGGAUCAUGCUCUUCAAUUUUUUUUUUAACACGUUAAAUAUUUUUCUAUUGUCA